UGAAAAAGUCUUUUGUGUACCA
rnacentral:piRNA from 1 species